UUCUAACUCUGAUCAGUUAUCCUGAUCGAAGACAGUGUCUGGCAGGCAGUUUGACUGGGGCGGUCGCCUCCUAAAAGAUAACGGAGGCGCUCAAAGGUUUGCUCAGAAUGGUUGGAAAUCAUUCGUAGCGUGUAAAGGCAUAAGCAAGCUUGACUGUGAGACUGACAAGUCGAGCAGGUACGAAAGUAGGACUUAGUGAUCCGGUGGUUCCGUAUGGAAGGGCCAUCGCUCAACGGACAAAAGCUACCCCGGGGAUAACAGGCUCAUCUCCCCCAAGAGUCCACAUCGACGGGGAGGUUUGGCACCUCGAUGUCGGCUCAUCGCAUCCUGGGGCUGUAGUCGGUCCCAAGGGUUGGGCUGUUCGCCCAUUAAAGCGGUACGCGAGCUGGGUUCAGAACGUCGUGAGACAGUUCGGUCCCUAUCCGUCGUGGGCGCAGGAAAUUUGAGAGGAUCUGUCCUUAGUACGAGAGGACCGGGAUGGACAUACCUCUGGUGUACCAGUUGUUCUGCCAAGAGCACCGCUGGGUAGCUACGUAUGGAUUAGAUAAUCGCUGAAAGCAUCUAAGUGAGAAACUAACCUCGAGAUGAGAUUUCCCAUUCGUCAGAAGUAAGACCCCUGAGAGACGAUCAGGUAGAUAGGCUAGAAGUGGAAGUGUAGUGAUGCAUGGAGCGGACUAGUACUAAUAGGUCGAGGACUUAACCAAG
rnacentral:rRNA from 1 species